rnacentral:rRNA from 1 species
AGAAUCAACGCUGGCGGCGUGCCUAACACAUGCAAGUCGAACGAGAAAGUGGAGCAAUCCAUGAGUAAAGUGGCGCACGGGUGAGUAACACGUGACUAACCUACCCUUGAGUGGGGGAUAACCUAAGAGAAAUCUGGGCUAAUACCGCAUAAUACCUUCGGGUCAAAGGAGCAAUUCGCUUAAGGAGGGGGUCGCGGCCGAUUAGUUAGUUGGCGGGGUAAUGGCCCACCAAGACUGUGAUCGGUAUCCGGCCUGAGAGGGCGCACGGACACACUGGAACUGAAACACGGUCCAGACUCCUACGGGAGGCAGCAGUGGGGAAUUUUGCGCAAUGGGGGAAACCCUGACGCAGCAACGCCGCGUGGAGGAUGAAGCCCCUUGGGGCGUAAACUCCUUUCGAUCGGGAAGAUAAUGACGGUACCGAGAGAAGAAGCCCGGCUAACUUCGUGCCAGCAGCCGC